UUCAAUUACUAAUUGUCCAAAAAAAAGAAUUCAUAAAAACUCGUACCUUUUUCCCCAAAUCAAAAUAGGAGAUGCUCAACAAAUUCACUUAGACAAAAAAACCCUAUUUCCUUCUCCUUCAAAUUUCAUCUGAUAAAUUCUCAACUGUAACUUUAUCUGGUUCUUCUUUUUACAGGCCUUAUUGUUACUAUACGUUUCUCUGUUGUUCUUCUACGCCUUUCUUUGCGAAAUUGCAUAAACAGUUGAGAGACUUUUGACAUUGUUUGGAUGAGAUAACGGAACUGGCUAUGGGUUGUUUUCCGUCGCAACUAUGUCCUAAACUCGGGGCAUGUAUAUUCUUCAUUGGCCGCAAUUCUCUAUCCAAAUAUAACAUCACUCGCUGCUCUCUGCUCGAUAUAGAAUCAUAGAUCAGGUACAAAUGAAUGAAGCAACCCUCAAAUCUGUUACAAGAUUGACAAUGGCAGUAAGGAAUGGUUAUAUGGCAUUUAAUGUUGUAUAACAAAUAAAACAAGAUGGAGUAACCCCAAAUUACGGUCGUAUGGUCCUGCCUUAUCUGUAUUCUGCAAUAAGGGGGAUGCCGACAAGGCAUUUAUAUUUAACAACACAUGUUGGAGAAUGGUAGCUAUUCAGAGGAACUUGAGCUGGAGGCACUUUAAAAAAUUUGAUUGACAAGUAAUUCAACAAGAAGGUAGUUUCAAGGGUGGAAAAAAUCAAAUGGGAUGUAAGAUCCAUACGUAAAGCUAUUAAAAAGGGAGGUUGUGCCUGCAAUGGACAAAGCUGGUUGGUUGAUGGAAAAUGGACUGUAUCAAGUGCAAUCGUUGGCCUUGAUGGCUGCUGCAAAUGCUUUGCUGAGAAGUUUGUGACCAUUGAUCUUAAUCCUGAAGAACCUGAAAUAUUUCCUAAGUCAGUUGCUUCUAUAACUGUGCAGAGAGUGAAAGAAAUUCAAGCUUCCAAAAAUUUAAAAGAUGCUUAAUUAAUAUGGACCAUUUGAUGUUGUUAUUGAUGGUGCAAAUGUUGGUCUUUACAGACAAACAUAGUUCAGGCCAUAAGUGGGAAAUGAACUUGUUUCCUCAUGUAGUGGCUGCAUGCAGUAAUGAAAUAUUCGGUGCUUGCUUGUGACCUAUGAUGAGAUGAGGGACGAUUUGAUUCAACUUCUGGAAAAUGAAUUUUUCCCAAAAUGGAAGGAAAGGAAUCAGGAUUCAGAAGGAUACUCACAUGUACCUAUUGCUUUAGAACAUGAAUCUGAAGUGGAAAUGACAUGGUUAUGCAUCACACGUGCAAAUUAACCUAUGGAAAUCGAGAUUGUCGAGUGUAAACAUAUGGUUCCAGGAUAACGAAUUAUAGAAAAGGACGUAAGUUCCUUGCAGUAUUCAACAACGAGGUACACAAAAACUGUAAAUACAAGAAAACACUAUCAAGCUUUGAAAACAUAGUACUUAUUCUGUAAGGCCAUUGAAGAGGACUUUUGAAGGUGAAUUGGUUCGGGCCGUUUAAGUUAGGUCAUUUGCAAGACUACUUGGAUAUUCCUCAAGUGUUCGGUAGGUCCUCACCAUCCAAGGAAUAUACCACUACCUAGCUACUUUUUAUCAUCUAAAGUCAUUUAGUUUCCUUCUCUUCAUUUGAAGACUUGACUUUUGUUUUAAAGAAGUAUGGGCUAUGCCCGAAUGUUCUCCUCAUUCUAUAUGGUUUAAAUGUGAGAUGAUAUAUUAGACUAAAUUCAUAUAAUUUAAAUAUGUUGUAUAAACGAGAAUCCUAUGUAUGCUUCCUAUGCGAGGAGUCUAAGUAAAUUCUGUAUGUAUAUAUGUUUAGUAAGCGAGAGGUCUAUAAAAACCUCAAUAUGUAAGAAAUUUUUAAUUUUUAAUGCAUUUUAACAUAUGAAGUGUUUCACGAAUGCUAAUAGGCUAGUCUUAGUCCUCUCCGAGGAUGAUAACACCGAUUGCAUCUAGGGGGUGCUCCCUGGUCGUGAUAGGAGCAAAUAGGCUCUCCCAUGUUUGGCUUGAUUUUAUGUUGCAAGGAUGCUUUAUCAUGAUAACUUGACUUGAUUUGUCCAAGGCUUUCGGGGAAAGCCCUAUACACUUCUAAUGGUAACUUGAUUUGCAUGCAAGGUGCAUUUCAUGGAAUAGCUGAUAUUGGUUUCUCGUGGUAUCUUAAGGUUGAGGAUUCAUUCUUCCCUAUGGAUUAGCUUGCAUCUACAUGAUUGGUUGCAUGGUGGUUAGGUUGGUACUAUUGUAUCCUUUAUUUGUUAUCUUGGUUUGUAUGGUCUGAUGCUUUACAUGGUAUUCGGUCUAUUAUGUUAAGAUGUUAAGUUUAAUAGAAAAGAACAAAAGAUAAGUUAGCUUGGAGUAGGAUAUUUUAAAGAAGUACUUAGUAUGCAUGGUAGUAUGGGAUGUCAUUCAUACAUGGUACAAGUAUGAACUUAAGCUACCUAUGGCAUGACCCCUGCAUGAUGUAUGCUUAGCUUGGGUAAUGACUAUAGUUGCUCCCGGUGACAUGAUUGACUUAAGAUGGUUGUUCCUUGUCAAUAUGAAGUAGGUCUUCUAGUGACAUCUAAAGUUGAUGACACGGAAUAGGGUGACUCAAGAUAUGCUUAGUGUUUGAGGUAGAAUGGGAUUCCUCACAUGCAUUACACAAGUGUAAUUUGAGGUGAUCUAUGGGAAUAGUGGUCAUAUGUUAUGAACAACUUAGGUCUUAAUUAUGAGAGUGUAUUAUGAUCAAGAAUGACCAAAGAGUGACACUAAACUCUGGUAGUAGUAUGGGAUGCUACCCUGACAUUGCACAAGUAAACUUGGGGUGGCUUGUUAAGUAGUUCACUUGAGUAAGAAAGACAAAUGAUUUAAGUAUGAACUAUUGUAUGCUUUAUGAUGAUUUAUUAUUCUUAUGAUAUCGAUGUUAUGCUUAUGCUUUUAUCACUUCUGAUUAUGUCCUUUUUUGACUAACCCUUUGAGAUAUCUUAUGUUUGGUAAUAUAGUUCUCAUACAUGGUACAUUUGUACUAACGCAUAUUUUGUCUACAUUCUUAUCAAAUGUUGGGUGUUGAGAAGAUUGACUUACUUUGAAGGGUAGAGUUUCCAAUGCUUUCAAGAUGUGAUGAUUGUUGAGUCCUCAUAGCAUCUGACGGCAUCACCGUAUGUUGUCUUUUAUGUUCUUUACUAUGUUUAGUCUUUUAUGGGUUGUGACCCAAAAAAUUUGUACUCGUGUUUUGAUAGAUGGUUUUUAAGACAUACGUUAGAAAGGAUUCCGUUUUAUGAAAUUAUUCUGCAUCUUUAUGUUUUUUGGUAAACAUUUUAAUUCCGUUCUACUUUUCAUAUAUAUGCAAUGAAAGUUGUCUAGGGGAUUGUACAAGACCUCCGAGAGGUGAAGUACGCCAAUGAAAUUUAGCAAUGCAGGUAAAAUUUGAUGCUCUUGUUAGCAACCAUACUUCAGAUUGGUUCCAUGUGACUCUUCCAAAAACAUGGUUGAUUGGAAGUGGUUAUUCUCAAUUAAACAUAAACAUGAGGUCCUAUUGAUAGGUGCAAGGCUUGUUUGGUUGCCAUGGAAUUUACACACCACCCCAAACUUUAUCAUCAUUCCCCUUUCAAUCUAGUAGUCAAGCAGGCUAUUAUCCGUCUCAUAAUAACUACCGCCAUUCAACUUCAUUGGCAUGUCCAUUAUCUGGAUGUUAACAAUUCCUUCUUGCAGGGUAUUCUAACUAAAGAAGUUUACAAGCGACACCCAAUGGGAUUUGAAAACUCUGGGCGUCCUAUGCAUGUAUGUUGUCUUCAAAAGGCAAUUUAUCGCCUUAAAUAGUCUCUUAGUGCUUGGUACUCCAAACUAAAAAAAUAUCUCCUUACUUUAGGUUUUGUUAAGUCGCACUCUAAUUCGUCACUCUUCAUUAUGCAUAAAUCUAGGCUUAUUAUGUAUAUUUUAGCUUAUGUGGAUGAUAUCUUAGUGAUAUGCAAUCACAAAUGAGGUGUUCAUUCUAUCACUAAGGGUCUUUGUCAACGUUUUUCACUGAAAGACUUAGGACCUUGUCAUUACUUUCUUGGAAUUUAGGUGAUUCGUUUUUCUGCUGGUCUUAUGAUCUCUCAAGAGAAGUACAUUAUGGAUCUCCUUCAUGAGGUAGUUAUGUAUAACUGCAAAGGAUGCAUGUUGGCAACCAUCGGAGUGCUUCAAGCUUUGGCUUCCAACUUUUGUAUGUCUACAAGUAGGUCAAGAAUAGAGACAUAAAGAGUUCCUUUCUUGCUUCUAUUAACUUCUACUCCCAAAAUGUAUCGUAUGUGUCCUAAGUCAUU